rnacentral:rRNA from 1 species
AUGCAGUCGAGGGGCAGCGAGAUGUAGCAAUACAUUGGUCGGCGACCGGCGCACCGGUGCGUAACGCGUAUGCAACCUACCAUAUACAGGAGGAUAACCAUUCGAAAGAAUGACUAAUACUCCAUAGUAUUAUUUUGAGGCAUCUUAGAAUAAUUAAAGAAUUUCGGUAUAUGCUGGGCAUGCGUGACAUUAGCUAGUUGGAGAGGUAACGGCUCACCAAGGCUACGAUGUCUAGGGGUUUUGAGAGGAAGAUCCCCCACACUGGUACUGAGACACGGACCAGACUCCUACGGGAGGCAGCAGUGAGGAAUAUUGGUCAAUGGACGGAAGUCUGAACCAGCCAUGCCGCGUGAAGGAAGACUGCCCUAUGGGUUGUAAACUUCUUUUAUACGGGGAUAAACCUAUCUUUGCGAAGAUAGCUGAAGGUACCGUAUGAAUAAGCAUCGGCUAACUCCGUGCCAGCAGCCGCGGUAAUACGGAGGAUGCGAGCGUUAUCCGGAUUUAUUGGGUUUAAAGGGUGCGUAGGCGGACAAAUAAGUCAGUGGUGAAAUCACUCAGCUUAACUGAGUAACUGCCAUUGAUACUGUUAGUCUAGAAUGUAAAUGGAGUAGGCGGAAUGAAUCAUGUAGAGGUGACAUUCAUAGAUAUGAUUCAGAACACCGAUCGCGAAGGCAGCUUGCUAAGAUACAAUUGACGCUGAGGCACGAAAGCGUGGGUAGCAAACAGGAUUAGAUACCCUGGUAGUCCACGCUGUAAACGAUGAUAACUCGGUGUCGGCGAUACACAGUCGGUGACUGAGCGAAAGCGAUAAGU